UUCUAAAAAGCACCCUUACCCUCAGUAAAUCCCAACAAUGCAGAGUGCAGAAAAAAUCAUCCACACAUAUCUCAUACAUGCUGUGAUAGAUUGUCAGAAAAUUAAAAUCAAACACGCAAUCGCAUUGUUCUUUAAAUGCACUCUUUUUGAAAGCCCCGCUAAUCUGUAAAAAGAGUUACUGAAAUUCAACCCUGUCAGCAUUUGUCGACAUUAAGAUAAUCUUCAUACCAAGACCCAUUUUUUUCUUUAUCUGUCUCUUCCCUCCAUCUUAGAGAUUUGACCACCUGAGUGGUAGAUCUCUGCAGCUCCUCCAUUCGUGCUCUCUAUUUCAGCCUCAAAAGACAGUCACUCACCUGACUACCAUCAGUGUCAAAGGGUGGCACCCACUCAGCGGGGGAUCCUGAGUCGAGCCCAUUGAUGAGAUGAAACAGGUUGACUUCUCCCUCAGCCUGAAGUGGAAUGAAAAACAAAUGUCAUGGAGGGUGACAGAGAGCGUCUGUGUCUUAUCAGUCCGGACAAUGUGAGUGAUGGUUCUUAUCUGGCCCCCUGCUCCGUGGCUGUUUAUUAUCCCAGGGUGGCAGGGCGGUGCUGGGAAGAGAGGAGAACUGGGAGCCCCUUCGUGAUCCAUCACUCCGGAGGUCUCCUUCCUCUCUUAUCUGACUGCUACAUGGAUAACCGCAGCUCUUGUUUACAGACGCCAGCUAUUUGAAUGAGUAGCAGGCGUAGGAAACGAUUCCUUGGAUCUCUUUAUCAGUC